AACUAACGCUGGCGGCGUGCCUAACACAUGCAAGUCGUACGAGAAAGUCCGCUUCGGUGGAUCAGUAAAGUGGCGCACGGGUGAGUAACGCGUGGAUAAUCUACCCCUCUGUUGGGAAUAACGUACCGAAAGGUGCGCUAAUACCGAAUGACACUGCACAUCUUCUGUUGUGUAGUCAAAGAUGGCCUCUGCUUGCAAGCUUUCGCUGAAGGAUGAGUCCGCGUACCAUUAGCUAGUUGGUAGGGUAAUGGCCUACCAAGGCAACGAUGGUUAGCUGGUCUGAGAGGAUGAUCAGCCAAACUGGAACUGAGAACCGGUCCAGACUCCUACGGGAGGCAGCAGUGAGGAAUAUUGCGCAAUGGGGGCAACCCUGACGCAGCAACGCCGCGUGAGUGAGGAAGGUUUUCGGACCGUAAAGCUCUGUCGAGCGGGAAGAAAUGCACGAUGGCUAAUAUCCAUCAUGCUUGACGGUACCGCUAAAGGAAGCACCGGCUAACUCCGUGCCAGCAGCCGCCGUAAAAC
rnacentral:rRNA from 1 species